rnacentral:rRNA from 1 species
ACGAGAAAGUCACUUCGGUGACGAGUAAAGUGGCGCACGGGUGAGUAACGCGUGGGUAAUCUGCCCUUAGGUUUGGGAUAACCCCGGGAAACCGGAGCUAAUACCGAAUGAGACCACGAUGACUUCGGUCGAUGUGGGAAAAGGUGGCCUCUUCUUGAAAGCCAUCGCCAAAGGAUGAGCCCGCGUUUGAUUAGCUUGUUGGCGAGGUAACGGCUCACCAAGGCUCCGAUCAAUAGCUGGUCUGAGAGGACGAUCAGCCACACUGGAACUGAGACACGGUCCAGACUCCUACGGGAGGCAGCAGUCGGGAAUAUUGGGCAAUGGGCGAAAGCCUGACCCAGCAACGCCGCGUGAAGGAUGAAGGCCUUAGGGGCGUAAACUUCUGUCGAGAGGGAAGAAACGCGUACGGUUAAUAUCCGUGCGUCUGACGGUACCUCCAAAGGAAGCACCGGCUAACUCCGUGCCAGCAGCCGCGGUAAUACGGAGGGUGCAAGCGUUGUUCGGAUUUAUUGGGCGUAAAGCGAGUGUAGGCGGUUUGACAAGUCGGGUGUGAAAGCCCAGGGCCCAACCCUGGAACUGCGCCCGAUACUGUCAGGCUGGAGUCCCGGAGAGGGUGGCGGAAUUCCCGGUGUAGGGGUGAAAUCCGUAGAUAUCGGGAGGAACACCAGUGGCGAAGGCGGCCACCUGGACGGUGACUGACGCUGAGACUCGAAAGUGUGGGUAGCAAACAGGAUUAGAUAC